ACAAUUACAAAUUUGUAGUAAAGUCAACAUUUUGGUUAAAAUCAAGUAAACAUACUAGUGUUUUUAUAGUAAAGAAUACUAUUUGAAUUUACAGUAUGGUUUCAUAUGUUUUCAGUGUUCAUGAACUGAUGUCAUUUUAAUGCUGUUCUCAUCCUCUGACACUGACAGAUAGGAGGAGCCUGUGGAGAUCUGAUAUAGAGCAAACUAAACUCUUUUUCUUCCUACAGUGCAAACAUGACGAUCCUUUGUGUUCUUCUUCUGCUAUUGUUGAUGAAAAGGGAGACAUUUGCACAGUCAAUAACACCGCUGGAAAACAAGGUGCUUCAAUCUGCAGGAGAUGAAGUCACUCUGUCCUGUAAAUAUGAUGGAGCUGAAGAAAACCUGCACUGGUAUCGUCAGUAUCCGGGAUCCAAACCAGAGUUCCUCGCAUACAUUUUUCCAGAAGGAACUAAAAGUGAGCCUCUUCCUCCUCGUCUUUUACCUAAAGUCGAUAAAAGCAACAAUCUUGUGUAUCUGGAGAUCUCCUCUGCUGCAGUAUCAGACUCUGCGCUGUAUUACUGCGCACUGACGCCCACAAUGACAGGAAACACAUCCUCACUGUACAAAAACAUCCUCAACAAUAAAUCUCAUAAACUAAAGUUUCAGGAAAGGGCCAGUGCAUCACAAAACACUUAAAAUAUCAUAGAUCAGUUCAGACAGUGGUGGUGUGAAGAAAGAAAAGUAGCAGUAAUGCAUCUAAACAUCUUAUGCAAAAAAAUUAGUAAUAAAGAAAUGCAUCAAUAAAUGCAUGAAUUGAUAAACAGAAAUGUAAAUCCUACAGAUCUUUUCUAUAAACCUGAUGAUGGUGAUGAUCUCAAAAGAAGAAGCUUUAA